rnacentral:rRNA from 1 species
CCUACGGGUGGCAGCAGUGAGGAAUAUUGGUCAAUGGGCGCUAGCCUGAACCAGCCAAGUAGCGUGAAGGAUGACUGCCCUAUGGUUUGUAAACUUCUUUUAUAUGGGAAUAAGGUGCAGUAUGUAUACUGCUUUGCAUGUACCUUAUGAAUAAGGAUCGGCUAACUCCGUGCCAGCAGCCGCGGUAAUACGGAGGAUGCGAGCGUUAUCCGGAUUUAUUGGGUUUAAAGGGUGGGCAGGCGGAAGAUCAAGUCAGCGGUAAAAUUGAGAGGCUCAACGUCUUCGAGCCGGGGAAACUGGUUUUCUUGAGUGAGUGAGAAAUAUGCGGAAUGCGUGGUGUAGCGGUGAAAUGCAUAGAUAUCACGCAGAACUCCGAUGGCGAAGGCAGCAUAUUGGCGCUCAACUGACGCUCAUGCACGAAAGUGUGGGUAUCGAACAGGAUUAGAUACCCUAGUAGUC